rnacentral:rRNA from 1 species
UAGAGUUUGAUCCUGGCUCAGGAUGAACGCUGGCGGCGUGCUUAAUACAUGCAAGUCGAACGAAGCACCUUGGACAGAAUCCUUCGGGAGGAAGACCAUUGUGACUGAGUGGCGGACGGGUGAGUAACGCGUGGGUAACCUGCCUUGUACAGGGGGAUAACAGUUGGAAACGACUGCUAAUACCGCAUAAGCGCACAGUACCGCAUGGUACGGUGUGAAAAACUCCGGUGGUACAAGAUGGACCCGCGUCUGAUUAGCUAGUUGGUGAGGUAACGGCCCACCAAGGCGACGAUCAGUAGCCGACUUGAGAGAGUGAUCGGCCACAUUGGGACUGAGACACGGCCCAAACUCCUACGGGAGGCAGCAGUAGGGAAUAUUGCACAAUGGGGGAAACCCUGAUGCAGCGACGCCGCGUGAAGGAAGAAGUAUUUCGGUAUGUAAACUUCUAUCAGCAAGGAAGAAAAUGACGGUACUUGACUAAGAAGCCCCGGCUAAAUACGUGCCAGCAGCCGCGGUAAUACGUAUGGGGCAAGCGUUAUCCGGAUUUACUGGGUGUAAAGGGAGCGUAGGCGGCAUGGCAAGUCAGAAGUGAAAGCCUGGGGCUCAACCCCGGAAUUGCUUUUGAAACUGUCAGGCUAGAGUGCCGGAGAGGUAAGCGGAAUUCCUAGUGUAGCGGUGAAAUGCGUAGAUAUUAGGAGGAACACCAGUGGCGAAAGGCGGCUUACUGGACGGUAACUGACGUUGAGGCUCGAAAGCGUGGGGAGCAAACAGGAUUAGAUACCCUGGUAGUCCACGCGGUAAACGAUGAAUGCUAGGUGUCGGGGAGCAAAGCUCUUCGGUGCCGCCGCAAACGCAUUAAGUAUUCCACCUGGGGAGUACGUUCGCAAGAAUGAAACUCAAAGGAAUUGACGGAAGGGCGA